UCGAGGUGACGAUAGAAAAUUCACGUCUUUCAAUCCCCUGAAACAUAUUGUGAUGUUGUUGUGUUAUUUGGACAGGUUUUGAUUGA